rnacentral:lncRNA from 1 species
GCGCCCGCCGGGGCGCCUUCGCCGGGCGGGCAGCGCCUCUCCGGCCGCCGCUCCGCCUCCUCCGGCGGCGAGUGCCUCCCCCUCAGCCGGGCGGAGGAGGAGGAGGAGGAGGGGCCCUUCGCCCGAAUUUCGGCCCAUCGGAAGAGGCGGCGGGGGGGGCGGGCAGGUGGGGCGAGCCGCGCUCGCCGGUCCCGGGCGCUGCCGGCCGGAGCAGCGGGUCGGGGGCCUCGCCGUAGGCACAGCCGCCUGCGUCGGCCGCUGAAACACGCGGAGGUGUUUUUAGGCAUUACCCACUGCARUGGCACCACCAUAAAGUGGAUGGAUGGAUCAUGGCGGGUGUAACGGAUGCCCACCUGGCUAAAUGUCUACAUGCUGAAGGCAGUUAAAGGGCACUUCCAUCAAGAACUAGGAUGGACAAGGUAAGAAAGAUGGAAGCCCAUGGUAUGUCCACUUACAAAGUAGAACCUUGCAUUAGGUUUCAGAUUGAAGGUUAGAAUUCAGGGCAUGAAAAUGUAAACUUCUUAAUAAGUAGAGAAAAGUACCUACAUUUUUAUGAGACAAACCCAA